CUCGACAGAGUGGUAGCGGAGCGUUCCGUAAGCCUGUGAAGGGAGACCCGUGAGGGCUCCUGGAGGUAUCGGAAGUGAGAAUGCUGACAUGAGUAGCGAUAAGAAGCGUGAGAGACGCUUCCGCCGUAAGUCCAAGGGUUCCUGCGCAAGGUCAAUCCGCGCAGGGUUAGCCGGCCCCUAAGGCGAGGGCGACAGCCGUAGCCGAUGGGAACCACGUGAAUAUUCGUGGGCCUGCUGGAAGUGACGGAUCCGAAAAGUGGCUCUAGCUCGUUGGCGAAUGCUAGGGCGGCCCAAGGGUUCCAGGAAAUAGCUCCAGCAUAUAGACCGUACCCUAAACCGACACAGGUGGACUGGUAGAGUAUACCAAGGCGCUUGAGGGAACGGUGUUGAAGGAACUAGGCAAUUUACCCCCGUAACUUCGGGAUAAGGGGGCCUCUGACGGUCUCGUCAGAGGGGCACAGACUAGGG
rnacentral:rRNA from 1 species